GUGGGGAAUCUUCCGCAAUGGACGAAAGUCUGACGGAGCAACGCCGCGUGAACGAUGACGGCCUUCGGGUUGUAAAGUUCUGUUAUACGGGACGAAUGGCGUAGCGGUCAAUACCCGUUACGAGUGACGGUACCGUAAGAGAAAGCCACGGCUAACUACGUGCCAGCAGCCGCGGUAAUACGUAGGUGGCAAGCGUUGUCCGGAAUUAUUGGGCGUAAAGGGCGCGCAGGCGGCGUCGUAAGUCGGUCUUAAAAGUGCGGGGCUUAACCCCGUGAGGGGACCGAAACUGCGAUGCUAGAGUAUCGGAGAGGAAAGCGGAAUUCCUAGUGUAGCGGUGAAAUGCGUAGAUAUUGGGAGGAACACCAGUGGCGAAGGCGCCUUUCUGGACUGUGUCUGACGCUGAGAUGCGAAAGCCAGGGUAGCGAACGGGAUUAGAAACCCCGGUAGUCC
rnacentral:rRNA from 1 species